rnacentral:rRNA from 1 species
UACAGAGGUCCCAAGCGUUGUUCGGAUUCAUUGGGCGUAAAGGGUGCGUAGGCGGCGCGGUAAGUCGGGUGUGAAAUCUCGGGGCUUAACUCCGAAACUGCAUUCGAUACUGCCGUGCUUGAGGACUGGAGAGGAGACUGGAAUUUACGGUGUAGCGGUGAAAUGCGUAGAUAUCGUAAGGAAGACCAGUGGCGAAGGCGGGUCUCUGGACAGUUCCUGACGCUGAGGAGCGAAAGCGUGGGGAGCAAACAGG